CGGUAAUUCCAGCUCCAAUAGCGUAUACUAAAGUUGUUGCAGUUAAAAAGCUCGUAGUUGGAUUUCUGCGGGGACGGAGCGGCCGGACGCAACUUGCGUCUCGAGCUAGCGCUUUCCCCGCAUCCUGCCGCGAACCGUGCUACCAUUAGUUUGGUGGCGCUGGGGAUCGGCUCGAUUACUUUGAGAAAAAUAGAGUGUUCAAAGCAGGCCACACGCCUUGAAUAAGUUAGCAUGGAAUAAUGACUAAGGACUUCGGUUCUAUUUUGUUGGUGUUCGGGACUGAAGUAAUGAUUGAUAGGGACAGUUGGGGCGGUCUGUAUUCCAAAGCGAGAGGUGAAAUUCUUAGACCUUCAGAAGACAAACAGCUGCGAAAGCGUUCCGCAAGGAUGUUCCCUUUGAUCAAGAACGAAAGUUGGGGGAUCGAAGACGAUCAGAUACCGUCGUAGUCUCAACUAUAAACUAUACCAGCUAGGGAUCGGUCAACGUUUAAUUAUUCGACUUGAUCGGCACCUUAUGAGAAAUCAAAGCAUCUGGGUUCCGGGGGGAGUAUGGUCGCAAGGCUGAAACUUAAAGGAAUUGACGGAAGGGCACCACCAGCCGUGGAGCCUGUGGCUUAAUUUGACUCAACACGGGAAAACUUACCAGGUCCAGACAUAGUAAGGAUUGGCAGAUUGAUAGCUCUUUCUUGAUUCUGUGGGUGGUGGUGCAUGGCCGUUCUUAGUUGGUGGAGUGAUUUGUCUGGUUAAUUCCGUUAACGAACGAGACCCCAGCCUGCUAAAUAGCGCGGUUGAGCUUUGCUCGAUGCGAACUUCUUAGAGGGACUAUGAUGCGCGAUAGCACAUGGAAGUUUGGGGCAAUAACAGGUCUGUGAUGCCCUUAGAUGUUCUGGGCCGCACACGGGCUACACUGGCGCCUGCAACGAGCAUAUCAGCUGGCCCGAGAGGGUCUUGGCUAAUCUUUUGAACCGGCGCCGUGCUUGGGAUUGACCUUUGCAAUUGUUGGUCAUGCAACGAGGAAUGCCUUGUAAACGCGAGUCAUCAGCUCGCAUUGAAUACGUCCCUGCCCUUUGUACACACCGCCCGUCGCUCCUACCGAUGAAUGUUCCGAUGAAAUUUUCGGAGAGCGCCAGAGAACGGGGCUCCGCCUUGCAGAUCUGGAGGCUCAAAGUCACUUAAAUCUGAACAUUUCGAGGAAGGAGAAGUCGUAACAAGGUAACC
rnacentral:rRNA from 1 species